UACAGAGGGUGCGAGCGUUAAUCGGAAUUACUGGGCGUAAAGCGUGCGUAGCCGGUCAUGUAAGUCGGAUGUGAAAGCCCCGGGCUCAACCUGGGAAUUGCAUUCGAGACUGCAUGGCUUGGGUGCGGAAGAGGGAAGCGGAAUUUCCGGUGUAGCGGUGAAAUGCGCAGAUAUCGGGAAGAACACCCGUGGCGAAGGCGGCUCUCUGGGACGGUACUGACGCUGAGACGCGAAAGCGUGGGGAGCGAACAGG
rnacentral:rRNA from 1 species